CUACGGAGGGUGCAAGCGUUAUUCGGGAUCACUGGGCGUAAAGGACGCGUAGGCGGGUUGGCAAGUCAGAUGUGAAAUCCUACAGCUUAACUGUAGAACUGCAUUUGAAACUGCUAACCUAGAGUAUGGGAGGGGGAGAUGGAAUUAGUGGUGUAGGGGUAAAAUCCGUAGAUAUCACUAGGAAUACCGAAAGCGAAGGCGAUCUCCUGGAACAUAACUGACGCUAAGGCGUGAAAGCGUGGGGAGCAAACAGGAUUAGAAACCCUAGUAGUCC
rnacentral:rRNA from 1 species